UACGCCGUAAACGAUGCGCACUAGGUUCGAGUAGCUCUGACGCUUCUCGAGCCGAAACAAAAGCGUUAAGUGCGCCGCCUGGGGAGUACGGCCGCAAGGCUAAAACUCAAAGGAAUUGACGGGGGCUCACACAAGCGGUGGAGCAUGUGGAUCAAUUCGAAGCAACGCGAAGAACCUUACCUGGGUUUGACAUUCACGGAUGCCGUCCUGGAAACAGGAGCCGGUUGCCUUCGGGUGAAACGUGGACAGGUGC
rnacentral:rRNA from 1 species